CAAUAGCGUAUAUCAAAGUUGUUGCGGUAAAAAAGCUCGUAGUUGGAUUUCUGUUGAGAGCGACCGGUCCAUACCAUGUAUGCGUAUCUGGCUUGCUCUCGGCAUCCUCUCGAUAGACGUUGCUGCGCUUGAUUGCGUGGCGCGGAUCUCGGGACUUUUACUUUGAGGAAAUUAGAGUGUUCACGGCAGGCUUUCGCCAGAAUACAUUAGCAUGGAAUAAUACUAUAGGAUCUUGGUUCUAUUUUGUUGGUUUCUAGAAUUGAGAUAAUGAUUAAUAGGGACAAUUGGGGGCAUUCGUAUCAACACGUCAGAGGUGGAAUUCUUGGAUUGUGUUGCGACGAACUACUGCGAAAGCAUUUGCCAAGGAUGUUUUCAUUGA
rnacentral:rRNA from 1 species